rnacentral:rRNA from 1 species
GACGAACGCUGGCGGCGUGCCUAAUACAUGCAAGUCGAGCGAAGUUUUUCUGGUGCUUGCACUAGAAAAACUUAGCGGCGAACGGGUGAGUAACACGUAAAGAACCUGCCUCAUAGACUGGGACAACUAUUGGAAACGAUAGCUAAUACCGGAUAACAGCAUUAACUGCAUGGUUGAUGUUUAAAAGUUGGUUUUGCUAACACUAUGAGAUGGCUUUGCGGUGCAUUAGCUAGUUGGUGGGGUAAAGGCCUACCAAGGCGACGAUGCAUAGCCGACCUGAGAGGGUGAUCGGCCACACUGGGACUGAGACACGGCCCAGACUCCUACGGGAGGCAGCAGUAGGGAAUCUUCCGCAAUGGGCGAAAGCUUGACGGAGCAACGCCGCGUGAGUGAAGAAGGAUUUCGGUUCGUAAAGCUCUGUUGUUAGGGAAGAAUGAUUGUGUAGUAACUAUACACAGAGAGACGGUAC